rnacentral:rRNA from 1 species
ACGCACGCUGGCGGCGUGCUUAACACAUGCAAGUCGAACGGAAAGGCCCUGCUUUUGUGGGGUGCUCGAGUGGCGAACGGGUGAGUAACACGUGAGUAACCUGCCCUUGACUUUGGGAUAACUUCAGGAAACUGGGGCUAAUACCGGAUAGGAGCUCCUGCUGCAUGGUGGGGGUUGGAAAGUUUCGGCGGUUGGGGAUGGACUCGCGGCUUAUCAGCUUGUUGGUGGGGUAGUGGCUUACCAAGGCUUUGACGGGUAGCCGGCCUGAGAGGGUGACCGGCCACAUUGGGACUGAGAUACGGCCCAGACUCCUACGGGAGGCAGCAGUGGGGAAUAUUGCACAAUGGGCGGAAGCCUGAUGCAGCAACGACGCGUGCGGGAUGACGGCCUUCGGGUUGUAAACCGAUUUCGCCUGUGACGAAGCGUGAGUGACGGUAAUGGGUAAAGAAGCACCGGCUAACUACGUG